UGGGAAAUGGGUAGGGUCUCAGAAGGAGGGAAAAAAUUUAGGCGCGAGAGAAGCCAUUAGAGAAAUGUGAAAAAAGCUUAAAAAGCAUAAGUAGUGGAAAAGGAAAGAAGCGAAUCAUGGGGAAGAGAAAUCGAGAUAAUAUGGAUUAAGAUAUCGUUGAUUUUGAUCAGUUGAAUAUUGAUGGUCCAUCAGAUGUAGGAGGAACGUUUUCUUGAGUUUGAAAUAAGUUCUCGGCAUGUAUGGUGGUUUUAGCAGAGGAAUGUGGUUGAAAGGAAUCUAAGGAAGGAGAAGUCACUCGAGAGAGAAAAUAUGUUGGAAUCAUUUUUAUAAAUAACUUUCUAGCUUUAUCAA